GGACGAACGCUGGCGGCGUGCCUAACACAUGCAAGUCGAGCGGAGUUUGAUUCUUCGGAAAUAAACUUAGCGGCGGACGGGUGAGUAACACGUGGGUAACCUGCCUUAUAGUGGGGGAUAGCCUUUCGAAAGGAAGAUUAAUACCGCAUAACAUAUGACUAUGGCAUCAUAGACAUAUCAAAGGAGCAAUCCGCUAUAAGAUGGGCCCGCGGCGCAUUAGCUAGUUGGAGGGGUAACGGCCCACCAAGGCGACGAUGCGUAGCCGACCUGAGAGGGUGAUCGGCCACAUUGGAACUGAGACACGGUCCAGACUCCUACGGGAGGCAGCAGCUAAGAAUCUUCCGCAAUGGGCGAAAGCCUGACGGAGCGACGCCGCGUGAACGAAGAAGGCCGUGAGGUUGUAAAGUUCUUUUCGGGAGGGGGAACAACCGUGGCAGGGAAUGGCCGCGGGAUGACGUGAAUCCCGGAAUAAGCCCCGGCUAACUACGUGCCAGCAGCCGCGGUAACACGUAGGGGGCGAGCGUUGUUCGGAAUCAUUGGGCGUAAAGGGCGUGCAGGCGGUCCUGCAAGUCCGGCGUGAAAGACCCCGGCCCAACCGGGGGGGCGCGCUGGAAACUGGAGGGCUUGAGUACAGGAGGGGAUGCCGGAAUUCCAGGUGUAGGGGUGAAAUCUGUAGAUAUCUGGAAGAACACCAAUGGCGAAGGCAGGCAUCUGGCCAUGUACUGACGCUGAGACGCGAAGGUGCGGGGAGCAAACAGGUUUAGAUACCCUGGUAGUCCGCACAGUAAACGAUGUGCACCAGGUGGCGGGGGGUCGACCCCCGGUACCGUAGCUAACGCAUUAAGUGCACCGCCUGGGGAGUAUGCUCGCAAGGGUGAAACUCAAAGGAAUUGACGGGGGCCCGCACAAGCGGUGGAGCAUGUGGUUUAAUUCGAUGGUACGCGAGGAACCUUACCAGGGCUUGACAUACGCCGGAAGCGCAUCGAAAGGUGCGUGCCGCUUGCGGCCGGCGUACAGGUGCUGCAUGGCUGUCGUCAGCUCGUGCUGUGAAGUGUUGGGUUAAGUCCCGCAACGAGCGCAACCCCUGCUGCCUGUUGCCACCACGAGAGGUGGGGACUCAGGCGGAACUGCCGGUGACAAACCGGAGGAAGGUGGGGACGACGUCAAGUCAUCAUGGCCCUUAUGUCCUGGGCUACACACGUGCUACAAUGGCCGGUACAGAGCGCAGCGAGGCCGCGAGGCGGAGCGAAUCGCUUAAAGCCGGUCCCAGUACGGAUUGGAGUCUGCAACCCGACUCCAUGAAGUUGGAAUCGCUAGUAAUCGCGCAUCAGCAUGGCGCGGUGAAUACGUUCCCGGACCU
rnacentral:rRNA from 1 species